rnacentral:tRNA from 1 species
AGGUGUUUAACUCAGUUGGUAGAGUAUCGUGUUUACACCACGGAGGUCGAAAGUUCGAUUCUUUCAGCACCU